rnacentral:rRNA from 1 species
UACGAAGGGGUCUAGCGUUGCUCGGAAUCACUGGGCGUAAAGCGCACGUAUGCGGCUUGUUAAGUCAGGGGUGAAAUCCUGGAGCUCAACUCCAGAACUGCCUUUGAUACUGGCGAUCUCGAGUCCGGGAGAGGUGAGUGGAACUGCGAGUGUAGAGGUGAAAUUCGUAGAUAUUCGCAAGAACACCAGUGGCGAAGGCGGCUCACUGGCCCGGUACUGACGCUGAGGUGCGAAAGCGUGGGGAGCAAACAGG